GAGCGCAACCCUUGUCCUUAGUUACCAGCGCGUUAUGGUGGGCACUCUAAGGAGACUGCCGGUGACAAACCGGAGGAAGGUGGGGAUGACGUCAAGUCAUCAUGGCCCUUACGGCCUGGGCUACACACGUGCUACAAUGGUCGGUACAAAGGGUUGCCAAGCCGCGAGGUGGAGCUAAUCCCAUAAAAACCGAUCGUAGUCCGGAUCGCAGUCUGCAACUCGACCGCGUGAAGUCGGAAUCGCUAGUAAUCGUGAAUCAGAAUGUCACGGUGAAUACGUUCCCGGGCCUU
rnacentral:rRNA from 1 species